UACGUAGGGGGCUAGCGUUGUCCGGAUUUAUUGGGCGUAAAGAGCUCGUAGGCGGUCUGUCGCGUCUGCUGUGAAAACUCGGGGCUUAACCCCGGGCCUGCAGUGGGUACGGGCAGACUAGAGUGCGGUAGGGGAGACUGGAAUUCCUGGUGUAGCGGUGAAAUGCGCAGAUAUCAGGAGGAACACCGGUGGCGAAGGCGGGUCUCUGGGCCGUAACUGACGCUGAGGAGCGAAAGCGUGGGGAGCGAACAGG
rnacentral:rRNA from 1 species